AGGCUUUUUGGAGCUUCCAGUUGGAGCUCGCAGGCUGGACACGGAGGGCAGGCUCUCCCCGGGAGGACAGACUGACGGCCCCGGUGAGAGGAAGAUGAAGGUCCUGCUGGCGCUGAUGAUGCUCUUUGCCUGCAGUGUGUUCACAGCUCACGGGAAGCACCCGCGCGCGUUCACACCGGGACUCGAGGGAAGCACCGUAGGAAACCUGACUGCCC
rnacentral:lncRNA from 1 species